rnacentral:rRNA from 1 species
UACGUAGGGGGCAAGCGUUGUCCGGAAUCACUGGGCGUAAAGCGCGUGUAGGCGGCUUGGCAAGUCGGUUGUGAAAUCCCGGGGCUCAACCCCGGAACUGCAUUCGAAACUGCCUCGCUAGAGUCCCGGAGAGGAAGGCGGAAUUCCCGGUGUAGAGGUGAAAUUCGUAGAUAUCGGGAGGAACACCAGCGGCGAAGGCGGCCUUCUGGACGGUGACUGACGCUGAGACGCGAAAGCGUGGGGAGCAAACAGG